rnacentral:rRNA from 1 species
AAUUCGAAGCAACGCGAAGAACCUUACCAGGGCUUGACAUCCAACUAACGAAGCAGAGAUGCAUUAGGUGCCUUCGGGAAGUUGAGACAGGUGGUGCAUGGUUGUCGUCAGCUCGUGUCGUGAGAUGUUGGGUUAAGUCCCGCAACGAGCGCAACCCUUAUUGUUAGUUGCUACGAAAGAGCACUCUAGCGAGACUGCCGUUGACAAAACGGAGGAAGGUGGGAUGACGUCAAAUCAUCAUGCCCCUUAUGUUCUGGGCUACACACGUGCUACAAUGGCCGGUACAGACGGACGCAAAGCCGCGAGGUGGAGCAAAUCCUAAAAAAGCCGGUCUCAGUUCGGAUUGCAGGCUGCAAUUCGCCUGCAUGAAGUCGGAAUCGCUAGUAAUCGCAGGUCAGCAUACUGCGGUGAAUACGUUCCCGGGCCUU